UACAGGGGGUGCAAGCGUUGCUCGGAAUCAUUGGGCGUAAAGCGCACGUAGGCGGUUCGUUAUGUCGGAUGUGAAAGCCCUUGGCUUAACCGAGGAAGUGCAUCCGAAACUGGCGAGCUAGAGUACUAAAGAGGAUCGCGGAAUUCCCGGUGUAGAGGUGAAAUUCGUAGAUAUCGGGAGGAACACCGGUGGCGAAGGCGGCGAUCUGGGUAGAUACUGACGCUGAGGUGCGAAAGCGUGGGGAGCAAACAGG
rnacentral:rRNA from 1 species